GCCGGGCGCGGUGGCGCACGCCUGUAGUCCCAGCUACUCGGGAGGCUGAGGCUGGAGGAUCGCUUGAGCCCAGGAGUUCUGGGCUGUGGUGCGCUAUGCCGAUAGGGUGUCCGCACUAAGAUCGGCAUCAAUAUGGUGACUUUCCAGGAGCGGGGGGCCACCAGGUUGCCUAAGGAGGGGUGAACCGGCCCAGGUCGGAGACGGAGCAGGUCAAAGCUCCCGUGCUGAUCAGUAGUGGGAUCGCGCCUGUGAAUAGCCACUGCAUUCCAGCCUGGGCACUCCCUUGUAGGUAACUAACUGCUU
rfam:Myotis lucifugus cont2.29852, whole genome shotgun sequence.